UACGUAGGGGCGAGCGUUGUCCGGAUUACUGGGCGUAAAGCGCGUGUAGGUGGGGAAGCAAGUCCGGUGGGAAAGCCCGCGGCUCAACCGCGGAAGUUCGCUGGAAACUGCUACUCUUGAGGGUGAUAGAGGGAAGUGGAAUUGCUGGUGUAGCGGUGAAAUGCGUAGAUAUCAGCAGGAACACCCGUGGCGAAGGCGGCUCCUGGAUCACCCUGACGCUGAGACGCGAAAGCGUGGGAGCGAACGGG
rnacentral:rRNA from 1 species